GGAAGUAUGUUGUACAAUUUAACAACAUCUAGAGAAAUUUGGGGUUCUUGUGGGGUAGACUCACACUACAUCUUUUCCUCACUAUAGAGACACUCAGAAGAUGCUGGGACAGAGCAGAAUCCCAGGUUGGCCUGGACUCUCUAGCAGCCAGACUAUCUAGAAGAGUGCCUUCUUCUGAUUUAUGUGUGAAAUCUUUGCCACAUAAAUUUCUCUUGAGAACGCUCAUUGCUAAUGGGGUCCAUAACCAAGGUUACCAUGGAAGUGUUGGGGAGCAAUGGGAAGGCAGGAGCACCAUUUGGCCUGGCCUCUUCAAGACAUAUAACUCCAAAUGAGUACUUUGUGGAAUCAUAUGGAAGUUUUCUCCCUUCUCCAUGUGGGUGAACCUCAGGGCUCUGCUGUAGAAGGAUGAAACCUCUGAGUUCAGAUUUGACAUCCCAAACAGAGGGUUCAAAUUCCAGCCUUAACGUUUUCUGAUUAAAACCAUCUUCUAUGUGGUUGUUAAAAUAAAGCUUUUCCAUUGGCUCA
rnacentral:lncRNA from 1 species